UGAAUGAAUUCCUUCAAAUGGGUGAUAGGUGCCAAGCUGCCAACUCACCAUGCUGGGCAUGGGCAGGCACUCCUUGUGGAACAUGUGCCGGCAAUGGAAGACCACCACGCUGAAGGGCUUAGCUGCAUCUGGCGAGGAGGGCAGAGAAAGGAGGAGAACUUAAUGCAACAAGCAAGAUCAUUUUAAACCAAUCCCGACUGAAAGUCGAGUUGCAGUUUAAUUUUCAGCAAUAAGGCUUUUUACUAUUUCCUCCCUUCC
rnacentral:lncRNA from 1 species